AUGUUCCGUCUCACUCUACUGCAGCUGCUGUUGGCAGCAGGAUAUGUAAUGUCUGAACAGCUGACCCAGUCAGCCUCUUUAACUUUGCAGCAAGGCCAGCAACUAACCAUCAGCUGUCAGGUUUCUUAUUCUGUGGGUAGCCAUCAUACUCAUUGGAUCAGGCAGCCACCAGGGAAAGGGUUGGAGUGGAUUGGAGGGGCUCGUGUUGGAUAUAACCCCUACCAGAAAGAUUCUCUAAAAAGCAAGUUCAGUUACAAAUUAGACUCUUCCAGCAACACUGUUACUCUGAAUGGCCAGAAUAUGCAGCCUGAAGAUUCUGCUGUGUACUAUUGUGCCAGGCAGUCACACUGA